CCCUAUAUUCUAAAGUGAUCCUGGUCAUUGACAGUCCAGGGAGAGAAGCUGCUGAAAGCAUUUCCCUUGUUUGGAGGGUCCACUGCUGUUCCUUCUAAACUCUGGAGUUUUUCCACA
ensembl:snoRNA SNORA71 Small nucleolar RNA SNORA71